CUUCGUGAGCCCAUACCAUAAGAUAUCAGCUUCACCUAGAUGAAACGCUGCGUCUGUUCAUCCUCGCAUCUCGAGAGCCCGUGGCGAUUAAGGUUUCGAGAUUGCUCUUUCAUCUUCUUCUUCAUCUUCUUCUUCAUGAUACAAAAUAAUACCAGUUACAGAAUAAUCAACUAACAACCCUCCAUUACCCCAUCACCCCGAUCUCUAAUCAAUGUGAGUCCCGAUCUUCGAAGAUGGUGGAGAUUCGAAUAUAGAAAAGGUGAGCUUUUUUUUUCUUUUGCAGUUUUUGUUUCUCGAUCUACUGCUACGAACUUUCAGCUUGGGGUUUGUGGUUUCAGUGUCAGAAGAAAGAACAAGCGCUCUUCGACGGUGUGUUUUCAGUAGUAAUCGCUGAGCUCAUAUCUAUAAAAGUAUUAUAAGUGACCCUUCACAAGGAAAAGCCUGUGUCAUGGCUACCACACUUCCAUAAUCGUAUAGUGAUGUUUCUGGGACGUUGAGUAUGUUUGACUCACAUGCUGUAUCAUUCCAUAGCCACCUGGACGGAUAGCAUAAAUCCCAAAUAGUAGGAGGCGUCUGUUCCUGAAUGCCACAUCUAGGAGACAACUUUAUUUCGACAAGGAGACUAAUGCAGAGGAAAACUAUUUUUACAAGCUGGUCUCUUAAGACACUGGGAACACAUCAUCAGCUUCACUGCUGAGGGGCUAUUCCAAGGUUGAGCCUGUGACCAUAGGCUGAACUAAACGAGUUAUUCCUCACUCCCAGCCCCAGGUUGUACAAUGAUCUUUAGUAUGAUUGUAUUUUGAAUUUUAAAAACUCUGUAUGUGAUUCUGUUAAUGGAAAAUGUAGAGGUUGAAUUUGUCUGCACCAAGAAGGUCAUUGGAUUUAAUAUGGACAAAGGCUGGUGCUAUGUCUCUUGCUUCAUAUGUACAAUGAAGCUUCAGUGGACGGUCUCAUCUUUUACUUGGCAACCUGCAGUAACACCAAUGCAGUUGGUGUCCUUUGGCAACCACCACAAUCAAGAGCACCAUAAGAGAAAUCUUACGCCAAAUUGCGGACAAUUCACCGGUACUUGGAAACCAACAGCUCUUCAGCUUACUACGAAACAAGAUGUUGGACUCUUUUAAAUUACCCUCCUACAUGAUACACCACCAACAACUUUUAAAGCUCAGGCACACAAGUUUUGGCUUCUCUGUUUUACAAGGAAAGAAUCAUAAGUGAAAGGUUUUUUUUUUUUUGGUUUGCAGUUUGUAAUUAUUGUAAGAAAGAAGGACAUUUGAUAAUAUUGGCAUCGUUUCGCCGCUAUUAACAUGAGUCUCGGGGCUUUACGGUGUCCUUGGGAAAGUGAGUUGUUCA